ACGUGGCGCGCGCCCUCCGACGGCCCCGCCCCCCGUCUCUCAGGAUCCGAGCGCUCCGCGGGGCCUCCCAUCCGCUCAGCUGCUCCGAUGGCCCUUCGCCCGGAGCUCGGACUCCUGGGUCGGGCCGCCUGAGGUCACCUCUCGCCGCCUCCUAAGGCCCAUUCCCCUUGGAACCACGUGGCUGAGGCUCUGCCCCGUGGCGGGGGGGAAGCAGGCGGGAGGCAGGCUGAGGUCUGGAGUUCGUUCAGUCUGUUCUUACUGAGCAACUACUUGGUGCCAACACUGUUCUGAGCGCUGAGGGAGGCGUGAUGGAAACGUGCAGAAAACCAAUAAGUAGUACUACAGUACAUUAAACCCAGCUGGUGAGUUUCCAGAACCUGGGAUUUAACCACCACCAAAGUCAUACUGCCCCUGCAUCUCUGGAGAUUUUAUUUAUUGGGACGCCUGGAUGGCUCAGCGGUUGAGCAUCUGCCUUCAGCUCAGCG